rnacentral:rRNA from 1 species
GACGAACGCUGGCGGCGUGCUUAACACAUGCAAGUCGAACGGAAAGGCCCUGCUUUUGUGGGGUGCUCGAGUGGCGAACGGGUGAGUAACACGUGAGUAACCUGCCCUUGACUUUGGGAUAACUUCAGGAAACUGGGGCUAAUACCGGAUAGGAUACCCUGCUGCAUGGUGGGGGUUGGAAAGUUUCGGCGGGUGGGGAUGGACUCGCGGCUUAUCAGCUUGUUGGUGGGGUAGUGGCUUACCAAGGCUUUGACGGGUCGGCGGCAUGAGAGGGUGACCGGCCACAUUGGGACUGCGAUACGGACCAGACUCGUACGGGAGGCAGCAGUGGGGAGUAUGACACAAUGGGCGCAAGCCUGUGACAGCGACGCCGCGGGCGGGAAGACGGCCUUCGGGUUGUAAACCGCUUUCGCCUGUGACGAAGCGGGAGUGACGGUAAUGGGUAAAGAAGCACCGGCUAACUACGUG